UUGGCACGUGCGGGGGGAGUUAGGGCUGUUGCGGCGUUGGGGCUUGCUCGCUGCUAGGGUUUUGGCCUUGAUUUGGGCUAGGUAUUGGGCUGGUGUUGGGUUUGUAACGUUUGGGCUUAGUGGGUCUAAUGUGUUCGGGUUUAGGGUGUCUGAAACUUUAGGCUAGUUGGGUCUACUAGGAUUUGGGCCUGUUGACGUAAGGAGCUGGACUGUGUUAUUUUUUUAACUUUUAAUUUUUAAUUUGGUUUUAUUUUAUUUAUUUGUUUAUUUGGUUUAUUUCACUAACGGGCCGGGCAGAUUGGGUCUAUUACAGCUGCCCCUCUUUGAUCAUUGUCGUGUAACAGGAAUGAAGCAGAGACUAAAAAGGGCCAAUUUUGCCCGGUCGUGUUAGACCUUGGUAGCCUUAUUCCAAACUACUGCCUCUUCAGAGGUGUAGGAAUUG
rnacentral:lncRNA from 1 species